GGUUCUUUGGUUGAUAGGAUAAAGAAUCUGACCUGCCCGGUGUAUUAUAAACGGCCGCGGUAAAUUAACCGUGCUAAGGUAGCAUAAUCAAUUGUCUAUUAAUUGUAGACUGGAAUGAAUGGUUUGACUUAAAACUGAUUGUCUUAAUUAAAAGAUGAAUUUUUUGUUUUUGUGAGGAGACAAAGAUGAACCAAUAAGACGAGAAGACCCUAUUGAGCUUGAUAAAUAACUAAUUAAUUAGGUGUAAGAAGAGAAAAUUAAGAUUUUAUUUUGCUGGGGUGGUGAAAGUACAAAAUAACUAUUUUUUAUUUAAGUAAUAAUUUUUAAUAUUUGAUCCAGUAAACUGAUUAGGAGACUAAGUUACUGUAGGGAUAACAGCGUAAUUUCUUUUUGGAGAUCGGAUUUAUGAAGAAGGUUGCGACCUCGAUGUUGGUUUAGGAUACCUUUUAGGUGAAGGAACUUAAGAAGGUAGUUUGUUCAACUAUUAAAUUCCUAUA
rnacentral:rRNA from 1 species